rnacentral:rRNA from 1 species
UACAGAGGUCUCGAGCGUUGUUCGGAUUCAUUGGGCGUAAAGGGUGCGUAGGCGGCGUGGUAAGUCGGGUGUGAAAUCUCGGAGCUUAACUCCGAAACUGCAUUCGAUACUGCCGUGCUUGAGGACUGGAGAGGAGACUGGAAUUCAUGGUGUAGCAGUGAAAUGACGUAGAGAUCAUGAGGAAGACCAGUGGCGAAGGCGGGUCUCUGGACAGUUCCU